GACGAACGCUGGCGGCGUGCUUAACACAUGCAAGUCGAACGGAAAGGCCCUGCUUUUGUGGGGUGCUCGAGUGGCGAACGGGUGAGUAACACGUGAGUAACCUGCCCUUGACUUUGGGAUAACUUCAGGAAACUGGGGCUAAUACCGGAUAGGAGCUCCUGCUGCAUGGUGGGGGUUGGAAAGUUUCGGCGGUUGGGGAUGGACUCGCGGCUUAUCAGCUUGUUGGUGGGGUAGUGGCUUACCAAGGCUUUGACGGGUAGCCGGCCUGAGAGGGUGACCGGCCACAUUGGGACUGAGAUACGGCCCAGACGCCUACGGGAGGCAGCAGUGGGGAAUAUUGCACGAUGGGCGGAAGCCUGAUGCAGCAACGCCGCGUGCGGGAUGACGGCCUUCGGGUUGUAAACCGCUUUCGCCUGUGACGAGCGUGAGUGACGGUAAUGGGUAAAGAAGCACCGGCUAACUACGUG
rnacentral:rRNA from 1 species